UAGGGAAUCUUCCACAAUGGACGAAAGUCUGAUGGAGCAACGCCGCGUGAGUGAUGAAGGGUUUCGGCUCGUAAAACUCUGUUGUUGGAGAAGAACGGGUGUCAGAGUAACUGUUGACAUCGUGACGGUAUCCAACCAGAAAGCCACGGCUAACUACGUGCCAGCAGCCGCGGUAAUACGUAGGUGGCAAGCGUUGUCCGGAUUUAUUGGGCGUAAAGCGAGCGCAGGCGGUUUUUUAGGUCUGAUGUGAAAAGCCUUCGGCUUAACCG
rnacentral:rRNA from 1 species